rnacentral:lncRNA from 1 species
CUUCUGAACCAUGAUAGGAGCAUAUUUAUGCGACUUAGUUAGCUUGUUUUCUUGCACUUUUAUAGUUAGUUUGUGGUUAUUAUAGUGUUUUAAGCAAUGUUCGUGUGUUUGUAGGUCCAAAUGACAAAGUAUGCAAAAAGGUGCAAUUUGGAGCCUUUUGGAGCAGUUUUGAGCAUAAAAUGGAUAUCACAUGGUUGGAGUCAAAUGGAUGGACGAAAUUGAAGAUCAAAGGAGGCAAGAAAUGAAGAAAUGAACAUGAAGAACAAAGAGUUCAGAAUUGGAAACCAAAGUUUCUAAAGUUGGAAGUUGCUAUUCUUGGAGGUUUCCAUUCUUGAAAAUUUCUAUUCUUGAAUUGGAAGUUUCCUAAUCCUUUUUCAGCUUUGUUUUAAGCCCUUGCCGCACCUCUCAAGCCUCUUCUCUCUUGGAUUCUGAUUUGUUAGGCCCUUUUCCUUGUGGAUUUGGGUUCUACAAAUCCUUUUUAGAAACUAAGUGGGCCAAAACCCUUUUCUUUGUUGAUUUAAACCCUAAACCGAAUUUGUAAACCCUAAGCCUUAAAAUCUGCUAAGUUUAAACCCUAAUCUAUCUCCCCUAGGGUUUGUGCCGCACCUAAUGUUCUAGAAGCCUAAAAAUCUGCAUAAAACCCUAGUUAUUUUCUCCUUUGGAUGGGCCAAGCCUUUUAUCUCCAAAACCCUAACCCUUUCCCAUCAGAUUUUGUGAAAACCCUAGCCUAUAAAUACAAGUUUUCAGCCAUAAAUUCGUGACCACCCUUCACACCAUUCAAAAACACCUUGCCGCAACCCUAAUCACCGUUCUACAUCACAAAACACCAUCCUACAUCCAUAUACAUCUCUGCCGCACCUUUUGGAGAAGAAAGAGAGCCUUGUCGUGCAUUCCAUUGAUGAAGGAGGGCCUUGUGCGCAUGUCAUCUGCAUCCUUGGGAGUUUUAAGAGUUCUUUCUUCCCUCGUUUCAGUUUCGAUGUUUAUUUUAAUUUGCUUUUCAAUUGCUAUGAACAUGUGGAACUAAACUCUUAUUAGUUAGUGGUGAAUUUGAAGCCAUGGACAUAUGUUAAUGUGAAUUGAUUCCUUUCAGUUAUUGUUUCGUAAAACAUGAAUGCGAUUUACUUAUCUAUUUGAUUGAUAGCUUAUUCUUGUGUGUUGAUUAAGGAGGCCUACUUAGUUUGCAUGCUUGAAUCUGAUGCUAAAUUAUAAGGGACUUUCACCUAAUCGUUAGAAACUUAUAAUUAUAAGUAGUGGAGAUUGUUAGUCACAAUCGUGUUAAGUAGAUUCUUGGCAAAAGUAUCAUGCAGUUCAUAGGUAUAAUUGCCUUGUCAAUGCUUAUGAUUUCCAUGGAAUUUAAUGAUCUUUGAAUGUAUCUCUAUCAUGCUGUUCAUAUAGGGAACUUGAGAAGAAUAAUUUGGGUUGUUGCAUGCAUUCAUCCAAUUCAAUGAAUUUAGGGAAAUCUGAGAGUUAAUUUGUGCAUUCACGAUUAAUUUGGGGCAUUGUCGUUCAUGGUUUAAAGAAACAAUACUGGAAAUCGGUUUAUGUUGCAUAUGUUCAUGUGUGGAGAAGGAUCCUCUAACUAGCUUUUCACCCUUGAAUUCAUCUUAAUUUCGUUUUAGUUUACUUUGACCUGCAAUUUGUUUAGUUUUAAUUCAAUUUCGUCAUAAAUCAAACCCCCUUUUCUGUUUUAUGUUAUUAGGUCAGAAUCUGUCCUAAUUAGGUUCUUUAGAGUGUUUUGAGUCAAUAUAGGUUAGGAUUAGUCCAUAAACAUUGUUUGGGUCUUAGUUUAGUCUUAAAUUCAUCCAAUUUCAUCUCUAGAAUCUGUUUUGAGUAUAAUUGUUAGUAUUGUGCUGUUUUGAGUCUUUUAAGUGUUUUCUGAGUUAGUUAAGUUACAAUCUGUUUUCUUUUAAUCUUUUGAGUCAAAGUAAGUUUUCAUUUCGUCCAACUUACUUGUUAGGUUUAGAAUUGAGUCAAUUUCACUUAGUUUUGCAUAUUUGAGUGUCUUAGGUGAGUUUAGAGUCUAUUCUUGUGUUUUUAAGUCUAGUUUA